UGUUUUAACUCACGAGGUUUUUUGUGUUUUAUUUCCAAUUUAUAUUUUUUGGUGUGAGACAACACCGCCAUGUGGCGUCUCUGUUGAAAAGUUAACCUAAAAUCAUAUUAGGCCUACUCAGGUCCUAACAAUAACAAUAUAGGCACUUUCAAGUAUUUUUAUGGGUGUGAUACACGUUUGUUUAUAACGAUGUUUAUAAACUUUAUGAUAGGUUUAACUAUAACAUAAGGGAGUGAUUUUAUAAUUUGCAUUUAAUUAGUUUUUCAUCUGUUUGGGAGAUCACAAAAUAAAUAAAAAAACACUUCAUUAAUUUCGUGGACAAAGUCUGUCAUGUUUCCAUUUAGUGACCACAAAGCAAAUAUUUGUGACAAAAUGCCAUAUUUGGAACACUGCCUAACUGCGUAUUGUGAACGGGUCCCCGGAAAAGUGUUAUGACAAAUGUUUUUUUUUUUUGGUUAGGUACUACAAGAAAGACAUUGAAGAAGUUUCAACACCAGGAAAAAAGAGGAAAAAAAGGCCACAGGAAGGAAAGUCACUUGACACAGUCGACGAUUUCACAGUAAAUGCAAUCAGGAAUGCAAUUUACAGGAUGUACGCUGAAGGUUUGAAUGUUACAGUCGACACCAUUUUGAAAGAAAUCAGGGAAAGACAAAUAGAUUAUUAUGGUGGAAGAUCAAGUCUUCAUAAAUUGUUAAAGAAGAUGGGAUUUUCAUGGACAACUGUUGAUGGACGAAAAGCUUUGAUAGAGAAUGAAAACAUAGUAUUGAAGCGAAUAGAUUUCUUGAGAAGUAUAAAGAAGAAAAAGAAAGAGGUGCCAAUUUCAUAUUUGUUGAUGAAACAUGGAUUUUCCAGAGAGGCAAGGCAUUAAUUUAUUUGAAAAUUUGUUCUGUGGUCCAAUACAAAGUAUUUCAUUUCCAUUUCAUAUAUUUUUCAGGAACUGUAUCAAAGUCAUGACAGGAUAAGAGUCUACAAUCUGCGAAGAGACGUACUGUUGGAGAUGGUAAAAGGUUUAUUGUUGUUAAUGCUGGAGGGCGCACUGGCUUUGUGCCAGGAGCAGGAUUACUUUUUGUUUCAGGUCAGAAGACUGCAGACUACCAUGGCGAGAUGAAUGGGGAAACUUUCUUGAUGUGGUUUGAAGACAUGUUGGUGCAUCUGGAGGAACCCAGUGUCAUUAUAAUGGACAAUGCUUCAUAUCACAGCACCCAGAUGGGCGAGGUGUGUGGAUCACGUGGAGAAGCUAAUUCAAGCAGACUGGGAGAGAGAAGUCCACAUAGACAGCGGCACCAUUCCUCCACUCAUCAUCCACCUCGGCGAGGAUAGUUCAAGUGAAGACAGUGACAGCGAAGAAUUUGAGGUUACGACACAGCAAGUAGAUGGAGACAGUGAAGUACUGGCAGUUCCUCUUGAUGAUUUACCCGGGUGUUCUUAUUGAGGUCUGUAUGUAAUAAACACCUGGGCAACUGUAAGUAUUGGGGUUUGAAACAUUUUUUUUUCUUUUAUGCAUUCCCAUUAAGUAUGUUGAUUACUGGAACUUUAUGUAUUAACUUUAUAUUACACAUAUUAUAAAAUUAAUAAUAAAUUUCAUUUCUGGAUUCGUAUAGGUGUAUGUGAAACAUUUUAUUUUGUUGUGUCUCUUCAUUUUUCAGUGAACUUACUUGGAAAACAAAAAGCCAGUCCCCAUCCAGGGCCACAAAUAAAUAAUGCAUAUAAGUGGUAUAGAAAUUACUGUCAAUUCUUUACCACAAUUUUACUGUUCAUAAAAUUAUGAUUUUGUCUAAUAAGUAUACUCAGGAAAAUGUAUAUAACCAUAUUUUUAUUUGUGGCCUUAACCGGCAAAAUGGUAGGGGUUUAUUAAAUAAAAGAAGAAAAUUCAUUUUUAAAUGUUUUCAUCUGAAUUUGUUAAUUUUAUUAAACCUUCAAUCCUUAGUCUUUUCCAGAUUGCUUAGAUGGACAGCCAUAUGUAUAAUUUACAAUACUUUUUUUUUCAGAUGCAGAAAACUGUGUUGAACUGUACUAAAGGAUGAUAUUUAUUGCUUACAUAAAUGUUGUAAAUUUAUAUGUUCUCCUAAAAAUUUACUUUAAAUUAUAUGUUAUUUCUUUAGCUAACAAACUUAUUUCUUAAUAUUUUUACCAUUGGGUAUC